GACGAACGCUGGCGGCGUGCCUAAUACAUGCAAGUAGAACGCUGAAGAGAGGAGCUUGCUCUUCUUGGAUGAGUUGCGAACGGGUGAGUAACGCGUAGGUAACCUGCCUUGUAGCGGGGGAUAACUAUUGGAAACGAUAGCUAAUACCGCAUAACAAUGGAUGACACAUGUCAUUUAUUUGAAAGGGGCAAUUGCUCCACUACAAGAUGGACCUGCGUUGUAUUAGCUAGUAGGUGAGGUAAUGGCUCACCUAGGCGACGAUACAUAGCCGACCUGAGAGGGUGAUCGGCCACACUGGGACUUGGACAAGGCCCAGACUCCUACGGGAGGCAGCAGUAGGGAAGCUUCGGCAAUGGGGGCAACCCUGACCGAGCAACGCCGCGUGAGUGAAGAAGGUUUUCGGAUCGUAAAGCUCUGUUGUAAGUCAAGAACGGGUGUGAGAGUGGAAAGUUCACACUGUGACGGUAGCUUACCAGAAAGGGACGGCUAACUACGUG
rnacentral:rRNA from 1 species